rnacentral:rRNA from 1 species
AGAUUGAACGCUGGCGGCGUGCUUAACACAUGCAAGUCGAGCGGUAACAGGCGUAGCAAUACGUGCUGACGAGCGGCGAACGGGUGCGUAAUACAUGGGAAUCUGCCUUUUAGUGGGGGAAUAACCCGGCGAAAGCCGGGCUAAUGCCGCAUAAGAUCUUCGGAUGAAAGCGGGGGAUCGUAAGACCUCGCGCUGAUAGAUGAGCCCAUGCCGGAUUAGCUAGUUGGUGAGGUAACGGCUCACCAAGGCGACGAUCCGUAGCUGGUCUGAGAGGACGGCCAGCCACACUGGGACUGAGACACGGCCCAGACUCCUACGGGAGCAGCAGUGGGGAAUAUUGGACAAUGGGGGAAACCCUGGAUCCGAGCGACGCCGCGUGUGUGAAG